UCCAUUCUACCGGGAAUAAUUUGUUGUUUGUCCUUGAAUUUUAUCAAACGAAAUCAAUUAGAUCGAUGUAUAUAUAAAGGCGAGUGAAAGGUAUCGAGUAAUUGUCACUCAUUCGUCUUGUGUUAUAGCUGUGGUGUGAGAUAAAAUUUAUAAUGAAAAGCACCCUGUUGAUCGCUUUCUUGUGCUGUGUUAUAUUAUGCUCGGCAAUUUUGCCAACGGCUGAGGCUCAAGGUGGCCGAAGAGGUGGAUUUGGAGGUGGAUUUGGAGGUGGAAGAGGAAUCGGAGGUGGAAGAGGAUUCGGAGGUGGAAGAGGUGGAAGAGGAGGAUUCGGUGGAAGAGGAGGAUUCGGCGGACGAGGAGGAUUCGGUAGAGGUUAAACAUAACGAUCUUUACAGCAAUAAAGAAGACAUUUUGUUUCAUAUUAAAACAUGUUAACUUUUAUUUUAACGUUUUCAAUAGAUUUCUAAAUAAAAAUUUAUUACCAAAAUGUAUUUUGUUUAUUGUUUUUCUCAGUUCUAAAUAUCAAAAACCACGUAAUCAAUAUCAAUUGUAAUUGUAAUAUUAAUAAACGUUGAAAUUAUAUAUAGGCUCAUAUAGACAGGACCGAUU